UAUCAAUCUCAGUGCUUCUGAUUAUCCUCUCGUCACUCAAGAUGAUCUUUUGCAUACGUUUUCGUAUCUGCCUCGGGAUCUUAAUUUCAUCGAUCAUACGAGCAACAUUGGCUGGAAAGAGUCUCAUCGAGCAAAGCCGAUAAUUAUUGACCCUGGUUUGUAUAUGUCAAAGAAAGCAGAUGUUUUCUGGGUUUCACAGAAGAGAAGUAUGCCUACAGCUUUCAAACUCUUCACAGGUGUGUGAUUCCAUUUUUGGGUUUUGAACAUUUUCGGAAAUUGUCUAAUUGUAGAAUCCUUGUGGGGUGGGUC